GGAAAGGCUGUAGCUUAGUGGUAGAGCAUCUGUUUUGCAUGCAGAAGGUCACAGGUUCAAUCUCCAAUACGUCUCUCUCCUUUUUU